rnacentral:misc_RNA from 3 species
AACGCACAUUGCGCCCGCCAGUAUUCUGGCGGGCAUGCCUGUUCGAGCGUCAUUACAACCCUCAGGCCCCCGGGCCUGGCGUUGGGGAUCGGCGGAAGCCCCCUGUGGGCACACGCCGUCCCUCAAAUACAGUGGCGGUCCCGCCGCAGCUUCCAUUGCGUAGUAGCUAACACCUCGCAACUGGAGAGCGGCGCGGCCAUGCCGUAAAACACCCAACUUCUGAAUGUUGACCUCGAAUCAGGUAGGAAUACCCGCUGAACUUAA